GGGCGUGUGGCUCAGUUGGUAGAGCGCCCGCUUAGCAUAAUUCAAACAGCAUUGCGGAAGGUCCCCGGUUCGAUUCCGGGCUCGUCCA